GGUUUCGGCUGCACCACCGGCGGGUCGUGAAUCCUUUCGAAGGCAGAGCUGAAGCGACCGGCGGAGAUUCCGUGAGAUGUUUCAGCUACACGGAGGGCGCCCGGCCUUUCCCCGUCGAGGAUCGGGGCCUGUUGUCUGGAGUUGUCUCCCAGACCCGUCCCUUCCUGCUGGGAGACGGGAGCUGCCCCGCAGCGGCUGCCGGUGGAUCUCCGGAGCUCUCACCGCUCCCCUGUGCAAUCCGAACGGCUGAAAACCAAGGGAGAACAAGGGGCAAAGGGGCAAGACCAGAACAUGUGGGUCAAUAAAGCGACUUCAGAAUGACAUCUGUGACAGGCUGGAUUAACAUAAGAAUAAAAUCGAGCGAGUUUAUCCUUGGACAUGUGAGCCCUAUGAACAACCUGAAAUUGUAUUAGGCAUGUUUAGCACAAAUAAAAGAAGAAUUGAUUAAUUGUAAAA